rnacentral:rRNA from 1 species
UACGUAGGGGGCAAGCGUUGUCCGGAUUUAUUGGGCGUAAAGAGCGUGUAGGCGGCCAGACAAGUCUGCUGUGAAAACUCGAGGCUCAACCUCGAGCUGUCGGUGGAAACUGUCUGGCUAGAGUCCGGAAGAGGAGAGUGGAAUUCCUGGUGUAGCGGUGAAAUGCGCAGAUAUCAGGAAGAACACCUAUGGCGAAGGCAGCUCUCUGGACGGUACUGACGCUGAGACGCGAAAGCGUGGGGAGCGAACAGG